rnacentral:rRNA from 1 species
GAUGAACGCUAGCGGCAGGCCUAUACAUGCAAGUCGGACGGGAUUGAGAAGCUUGCUUUUCAUGAGAGUGGCGCACGGCUGCGUAACACGUCUGUAAGCUACCUUCAUCAGGGCGAUAGCCUCUCGAAAGAGAGAUUAACACCGCACAAAAUCACAGUACAGCAUUGUACAAUGAUCAAAUCUUUAUAGGAUGAAGAUGGGCAUCCGGGACAUUAGCGAGAUGGUGAGGUAACGGCUCACCAAGGCGAUGAUGUCUAGGGGAUCUGAGAGGGUGGCCCCCCACACUGGUACUGAGACACGGACCAGACUCCUACGGGAGGCAGCAGUAAGGAAUAUUGGUCAAUGGACGGAAGUCUGAACCAGCCAUGCCGCGUGCAGGAAGACGGCCCUACGGGUUGUAGACUGCUUUUGUACGGGAAUAAACCUCUUUACGUGUAAAGAGCUGAAUGUACUGUAAGAAUAAGGAUCGGCUAACUCCGUGCCAGCAGCCGCGGUAA